rnacentral:piRNA from 1 species
UGUGCACAUGUAAAAUAUCCAAUAAAAC